rnacentral:rRNA from 1 species
GACAGAGGGGGCAAGCGUUGCUCGGAAUCACUGGGCGUAAAGGGCGCGUAGGCGGGAUGGCAAGUCAGUCGUGAAAUCUCUCGGCUCAACCGAGAAACGUCGGCUGAUACUGCCGUUCUUGAGGGUUGCAGAGGAGACUGGAAUUCCCGGUGUAGCGGUGAAAUGUGUAGAGAUCGGGAGGAACACCGGUGGCGAAGGCGGGUCUCUGGGCAACUCCUGACGCUGAGGCGCGAAAGCGUGGGGAGCAAACGGG